GACGAACGCUGGCGGCGUGCUUAACACAUGCAAGUCGAACGGAAAGGCCCUGCUUUUGUGGGGUGCUCGAGUGGCGAACGGGUGAGUAACACGUGAGUAACCUGCCCUUGACUUUGGGAUAACUUCAGGAAACUGGGGCUAAUACCGGAUAGGGGCUCCUGCUGCAUGGUGGGGGUUGGAAAGUUUCGGCGGUUGGGGAUGGACUCGCGGCUUAUCAGCUUGUUGGUGGGGUAGUGGCUUACCAAGGCUUUGACGGGUAGCCGGCCUGAGAGGGUGACCGGCCACAUUGGGACUGAGAUACGGCCCAGACUCCUACGGGAGGCAGCAGUGGGGAAUAUUGCACAAUGGGCGGAAGCCUGAUGCAGCAACGCCGCGUGCGGGAUGACGGCCUUCGGGUUGUAAACCGCUUUCGCCUGUGACGAAGCGUGAGUGACGGUAAUGGGUAAAGAAGCACCGGCUAACUACGUGCCAGCAGCCGCGGUGAUACGUAGGGUGCGAGCGUUGUCCGGAUUUAUUGGGCGUAAAGGGCUCGUAGGUGGUUGAUCGCGUCGGAAGUGUAAUCUUGGGGCUUAACCCUGAGCGUGCUUUCGAUACGGGUUGACUUGAGGAAGGUAGGGGAGAAUGGAAUUCCUGGUGGAGCGGUGGAAUGCGCAGAUAUCAGGAGGAACACCAGUGGCGAAGGCGGUUCUCUGGGCCUUUCCUGACGCUGAGGAGCGAAAGCGUGGGGAGCGAACAGGCUUAGAUACCCUGGUAGUCCACGCUGUAAACGGUGGGUACUAGGUGUGGGGUCCAUUCCACGGGUUCCGUGCCGUAGCUAACGCUUUAAGUACCCCGCCUGGGGAGUACGGCCGCAAGGCUAAAACUCAAAGGAAUUGACGGGGCCCCGCACAAGCGGCGGAGCAUGCGGAUUAAUUCGAUGCAACGCGUAGAACCUUACCUGGGUUUGACAUGGAUCGGGAGUGCUCAGAGAUGGGUGUGCCUCUUUUGGGGUCGGUUCACAGGUGGUGCAUGGCUGUCGUCAGCACGUGUCGUGAGAUGUUGGGUUAAGUCCCGCAACGAGCGCAACCCUUGUUCACUGUUGCCAGCACGUUAUGGUGGGGACUCAGUGGAGACCGCCGGGGUCAACUCGGAGGAAGGUGGGGAUGACGUCAAGUCAUCAUGCCCCUUAUGUCCAGGGCUUCACGCAUGCUACAAUGGCUGGUACAGAGAGUGGCGAGCCUGUGAGGGUGAGCGAAUCUCGGAAAGCCGGUCUCAGUUCGGAUUGGGGUCUGCAACUCGACCUCAUGGAGUCGGAGUCGCUAGUAAUCGCAGAUCAGCAACGCUGCGAUGAAUACGUUCCCGGG
rnacentral:rRNA from 1 species